AGGAUGAACGCUGGCGGCGUGCCUAAUACAUGCAAGUCGAGCGGUAAGGCCACUUCGGUGGGUACACGAGCGGCGGACGGCUGAGUAACACGUAGGAACGUACCCCAAACUGAGGGAUAAGCACCAGAAAAUGGUGUCUAAUACCGCAUGUGCUCUUCGGAGUAAAGCUACGGCGGUUUGGGAACGGCCUGCGCAAGAUUAGCUUGUUGGUGAGGUAAUAGCUCACCAAGGCGACGAUCUUUAGCUGGUCUGAGAGGAUGACCAGCCAGACUGGAACUGAGAACGGUCCAGACUCCGUACGGGAGGCAGCAGUAGGGAAUUUUCCACAAGUGGAC
rnacentral:rRNA from 1 species